rnacentral:rRNA from 1 species
UAACGGCUUACCAAGGCGACGAUCAGUAGCCGACCUGAGAGGGUGAUCGGCCACAUUGGAACUGAGACACGGUCCAAACUCCUACGGGAGGCAGCAGUGGGGAAUAUUGCACAAUGGGCGAAAGCCUGAUGCAGCAACGCCGCGUGAGUGAUGAAGGCCUUCGGGUCGUAAAACUCUGUCCUCAAGGAAGAUAAUGACGGUACUUGAGGAGGAAGCCCCGGCUAACUACGUGCCAGCAGCCGCGGUAAUACGUAGGGGGCUAGCGUUAUCCGGAUUUACUGGGCGUAAAGGGUGCGUAGGCGGUCUUUCAAGUCAGGAGUGAAAGGCUACGGCUCAACCGUAGUAAGCUCUUGAAACUGGGAGACUUGAGUGCAGGAGAGGAGAGUGGAAUUCCUAGUGUAGCGGUGAAAUGCGUAGAUAUUAGGAGGAACACCAGUUGCGAAGGCGGCUCUCUGGACUGUAACUGACGCUGAGGCACGAAAGCGUGGGGAGCAAACAGGAUUAGAUACCCUGGUAGUCCACGCUGUAAACGAUGAGUACUAGGUGUCGG